rnacentral:rRNA from 1 species
UGAGGAAUAUUGGUCAAUGGGCGAGAGCCUGAACCAGCGACGCCGCGUGGGCGAUGAAGGCUUUCGGGUCGUAAAGCCCUUUUCUGCGUGACGAGCAAGGACGGUAGCGCAGGAAGAAGCGUCGGCUAACUACGUGCCAGCAGCCGCGGUAAAACGUAGGACGCAAGCGUUAUCCGGAGUUACUGGGCGUAAAGGGCGUGUAGGCGGCGCUGCAAGUUCGUCGUGAAAGACCCCGGCUCAACCGGGGGAGGUCGAGGGAGACUGCGGCGCUGGAGGACGGUAGAGGGACAGGGAAUUCCGGGUGUAGUGGUGAAAUGCGUAGAGAUCCGGAGGAACACCAGUGGCGAAGGCGCUGUCCUGGGCCGCACCUGACGCUGAGACGCGACAGCAUGGGGAGCGGAACGGGAUUAGAAACCCCGGUAGUCCAUGCCGUAAACGAUGCCGACUGGGUGUUCGGCUCCCGGGAAGGAGUUGGGUGCCGCAGCUAACGCGCGAAGUCGGCCGCCGU